UGGGGCACCAUGAUGUUCUACACGUAUAGAGAUAUGUCAGGGUGGCCAUGUUGCCAGGCACUUGUGGGGGCAAGGGCAGGGAGAAGAGCAUGGGAAUUGCCAUGUUUUGGUGGACCGAGUUUCUAAUGCCCAGCAUUUGCAUAUCAAAGCUUGCUGCCAGGCUCUAAGAUCUGGGGCUUUCCUGCUAAACAAGAAACAUUUCUGGAGCUGCUUUAAAAGAGACAAAAACUUUCCAAGGACCCCUUUUCCUCUCUAUCUGCCUAAAAUAAUUUCUUAAUAACUCCUGUCACACUAAGGGACAGACUACUGUGAAUCUUGCUGCUCCUCUGGGUCUUGCUACCCAGUGAAGCUGCCACACUUUAGGCUGGGAAUUUCUGCAAGGAAUCCAGUGAUGUGACUUGUUCUCUAAUCUCCCAGCACUGAGUACCAGCGCCAGCUCUGAUGAGGGUGGCAGUUAUAGAGAAAAUGGGGAUGGAUUUCCCCAAAUAUGUGCUGACUCUUGGGAAAAACUGCCGAGCCAAAAUGUGUCUACAUGAAAGUUGCUGACUCUACAGAGAUUUCUCGUAAGAGCCUUCCUUCAGUAAUCACUUACACCAGGAUUUCAUGUCAAGCACUGCUUCAAGAGAUCCUAGCCCAGGACAUCCACCCCUCAAAAGACUGCGUCUCUCAGACUUAACAAAUAAAUAAUCAUACUUUGUGUAGUAAAGAAAUAUUUUAACAAAUGAAUACAGAGUGUUUGGAAAUGAAGUAAUGCACAAAGAUAUACCACGCAAAUAUGAACAAAAAAGAUGCUUUUGUAACAAUUUUAAGCCCAAGUAAAAAGCCAAUAGAUACCAAUGAAGAAAUGAAUAGUGUUAUGUUUAUACAAGGUUCAUUGAGCAAUAAAAUACUAGUCACGUUGAAGUGUCUCUGAAUGAAGAAUCAGGUUAAUAAUAGCUGAUUCUAUGUUUUUCAAAUGUCAUUGAUGCUAAUUAUUUUAUUUCACAGACAUUAUAUUCUUCACUCCCACUUUCAAAUUUGAGGAUUUCCACAGAUCUCUAAGAGCAAUUGGUGAAAGCAAAUUGUGUAUCAAGUCCUUCUCAGUGAUUCAGGAAGUUUAGACAACUGUUUUAUUCCAAAUUAAAGUGUGAAACUUGCACAGCUCUAAUUGUGUUAGCUUGGGCUAAUUAUUUCAUAUUUCUGAGUCUUACUUUAAUCAUCUUUAAAAUAAAAAAAGUCCUAAAUUAUAAUAUGUUGAAAACCACACAUAAAAUCUCUUAAAGGACUAUCUUAAUCUCUCAGCAAUACCUGCUCUUUUUAUCUUCCUCUCUCUCCUUUUCCUCCCUCUUCUUUUUUAUCUUCCUCCCUCUCCUUUUUUAAAAUGUAGAAGCCACUAUAUUUUAUGUAAUUUUAAUUCUAAAAUUUUAAUAUUCUAAAAUGAUAUCCUAGUAGAACAGUGAGAAAGAAUGAAAUAAUUUCAUUUUAUUUCAAAAAGAAUUUCAGUAUUUAAAAUGCCUCCAACAUUAUGAUUGUUAUUGACCCUGAUGUUGAUUGAAAUAUGAAAGGGCAGAAUUACACAUUCAGAUGUAAUGGAACUUCCUUACGUUACACAAAUUAGAAACUAUAUCAAAGAGAAUGUUUAGAUUUUGUUGUAAUAUUUUCAGAAAGAUAAUAAAAUAUUUCCAUGUGUCAGCAAGAAGACAAAGAAAUAUCUCUAGUAUGCCCAUACCAUAAUCCUGUUUCCUCCAAAAUCCUCAGAAAAAGAUAGUGAAGGAAAAUUGCUUUAUUUUCCAAAUGUCAUAGAAUUAUAUAAGCUAAUGAAAUAAAACUGUUCAUGUUGUAAAAAAAUGCAUUAUCGCCUUUUGGAAAAAUCCUCUUAGGACCCAAUGUUUCUCAUUGACCCUGCCCCUUAUCAAAAAUAGCAAUAACAGCAAAUACCAGUACUCCAGGUAAUUCUGACUAUAAACAGUGCCAGAAUUUUUAUCAAGUGCGUAAUUCUUACCUUAAGGAAUCACUUAAGCCCCCUCCAAAUACCAAGUUUCUUUGUUGGAAAUAACUAAUGGCUACCAAGAUACAGCUUUCAUUGUGUUUUUCCCCAUGGUAAUGAAACUGAAUUACCAGACUGUUUGAAAUUAUAGGCAAAAUAGAACUUUUAAAAAAUAUUCAUGAUUGAUUUGAACUAAAUAAAAAUACUGCUUAACUCAUAGCACCAUUUCUUUCUUUCCUUUUUUUUUUUUUUUGAGUUGUUAGAGUCUUAUUCUAUCACCCGGGCUGGAGUACAGUGGUGCUAUCUCAGCUCACUGCAACCUCUGCCUCCUGGCUUAAGCAGUUCUCCUGCCUCAGCAUCCUGAGUAGCUGAGAUUACAGGUGCACCACCACACCCAGCUAAUUUUGUAUUUUUAGUAGAGACAGGGUUUCACAAUGUUGCCCAGGCUGGUCUCGAACUCCUGGCCUCAAGU
rnacentral:lncRNA from 1 species